UACGUAGGGUGCGAGCGUUGUCCGGAAUUAUUGGGCGUAAAGGGCUCGUAGGCGGUCUGUUGCGUCGGUAGUGAAAACUCAGGGCUUAACCCUGAGCCUGCUUCCGAUACGGGCAGACUAGAGGUAUGCAGGGGAGAACGGAAUUCCUGGUGUAGCGGUGAAAUGCGCAGAUAUCAGGAGGAACACCGGUGGCGAAGGCGGUUCUCUGGGCAUCACCUGACGCUGAGGAGCGAAAGUGUGGGGAGCGAACAGG
rnacentral:rRNA from 1 species